GCGAAGGUUGGUGGGGGCCGGUUUCUGUCGCCUCUCCCCUCGGUAUGGUAGUGGGGGGGACAGGGGGAGGGGGGGGAGAGCGGGAGGCGGGCUGGCUGACUGACUGACUGACUGACCCCCGCCCUGAGGCGGGGGGGGGGGGGCCGCCGUGCCGGCCGGCAGGUGUGAGGGACGGGCCUGGCUACGCCGCCCGGCGGCACCUGCUCGGCGCCGGAGGAGGAGAGCUGGCGCCUCCCGGUCCCACCCCCGCCCCCCCUCACCCCCUCCGUUAUUAUUAAUUCACCUUUGCGGGGCUCGUUCGUGGCGUUGGGGAGCUUUUCUCCGGCCCUUUUGAGGUGGCGGAGAGCCGUAAGAAAAAAAAAAAAACAACCCCAAAACCAACCAAACUACCACAAGAAAUCCUGGGAGACCUGGUGUAAAGCUGUUGAGUUGCUACCAGCGAUGUCAAACGCUGUUUUCCCGGCCCUCCGCCUCACUUCUCCCAGCCAGAAGUGCCACCGCCGCUGACAGGGAGCCCUGGUGGGAGACGGGGCGUGUGGUGGUCCCCAUGGCGGGCACGCUCCUCGGGCUACUCGCUGCUGCCACAACAUCCAGAGCGUGUUUUAUAGCCUCGCUUUUGGACGCUGUCACGCCAAGAGCACUGCUAGGAAUAGAGAAUUUCAGCUGUGCCCUUGCUUCUUCCACACUUACCACUGAAUCAAUACUGUUUACGCAGAAACAGCAUUAUAGUUAACCUAAACAUCUGUUCAAAGAUCAAGACAUUAUUCUGAGUUGCAUCCAGUAAAGCACAUCACCUCUGGAACUGCAAAGACACUACAAAAUCAUUAAUUUCUUCAGCUAAUAUUCAAGAAUUAAGUCCUACACUCUGCAAAGCAAAGUUCAGGAAUGUAGCUUGUAGAAGAUAUGGAAAAGGUAAAGGACUAAUUAUAGAGGUCGACUGCCAAUUCUGUUUAAAAUGUAAGUUUCCUCCUCUUCUCAAAAGUAACUAGGACACUGCCUCAUAAAAAUAGUCUUACAAAAUUCCAUGGUAGAAUGGGUGUUAGUAAGCUCUUAACAUGUGCUCUAGGUUAUUGCUGUUUGUGUGUCAGUCACUGAUGUAUUUCUAAUUUCACUUUAUCUUUGAUCAACCAAACUACUUUUGAAAUUUUCUUAAAUGUUCUUCCAUUAUAGUGUAGUAGAAG